rnacentral:rRNA from 1 species
UACGUAGGGUGCGAGCGUUGUCCGGAAUUACUGGGCGUAAAGAGCUCGUAGGUGGUUUGUCGCGUUGUCCGUGAAAACUCACAACUCAAUUGUGGGCGUGCGGGCGAUACGGGCAGACUGGAGUACUGCAGGGGAGACUGGAAUUCCUGGUGUAGCGGUGGAAUGCGCAGAUAUCGAGAGGAACACCUGCGGCGAAGGCGGGUUGCUGGGCUGACACUGACGCUGAAGCGCGAAAGCUAGGGGAGCGAACGGG